rnacentral:rRNA from 1 species
CACGAACGCUGGCGGCAGGCUUAACACAUGCAAGUCGUGCGCCCCGCAAGGGGAGCGGCAGACGGGUGAGUAACGCGUGGGAAUCUACCCAUCUCUACGGAAUAACGCAUGGAAACGUGUGCUAAUACCGUAUACGUCCUUCGGGAGAAAGAUUUAUCGGAGAUGGAUGAGCCCGCGUUGGAUUAGCUAGUUGGUGGGGUAAAGGCCUACCAAGGCGACGAUCCAUAGCUGGUCUGAGAGGAUGAUCAGCCACACUGGGACUGAGACACGGCCCAGACUCCUACGGGAGGCAGCAGUGGGGAAUAUGGGACGAUGGGCGCGAGCCUGAUCCAGCCAUGCCGCGUGAGUGAUGAAGGCCCUAGGGUUGUAAAGCUCUUUCACCGGUGAAGAUAAUGACGGUAACCGGAGAAGAAGCCCCGGCUAACUUCGUGCCAGCCGCAGCCGUAACAC